rnacentral:lncRNA from 1 species
CGCUGGUCGAAUGUUCCCAGAAACUUCCCUGCAUUAGCUCUACCGGGCGCGGGGAGCAGAAAGCGCAUUUCCUGAGUCCUGAAAAGCGCGUGCGCGCCUGUGUGCUGCCGGCGUUUGGGCGCGCCUGCUUGUAGUUUGCUCUGUCGCCCAGGAUGGAGUGCAGUGCAGUGGCGCGAUCCUGCAACCUCCGCCUCUCGAGUUCAAGCGAUUCUCCUGCCUCAGCCUCCCGAGUAGCUGGGAUUACAGACGCGCGCCACCCCACCCAGAUGAUCUUUUUAAAUGCAAAAUGCCAUCGACGCAGAAAAUCAAAGAAUCAGCUUAAGUUCCAGAAAAAAGAAAAACCAACCAAAUGAACAAUAAGACAACAACAACAACAACAAAAAAGGCCUUUUGGGAUUUUGGAUGAUAUUGCAUCAAAUCCAUACAUUAACCUGAGAGACGAGCGACUUCUUCAACAUUGAGCCUUCCAAUCAUGAUUUUCAAUUCAUUUAGGUCUUCUGUAAUGUUUCUUAAUAUAAUUGUAUUUGUUGCUAUGCAGAAGUUUCACUGAUCUUUUAUUAUAUCUCUAUAUAUAUUUGAUAUUUCUGACACUAUUGUAAAUAGUAUCUUUUUAAUAUUUCAUUUUCCUUUUUUGUUGCUUAAAUAUAUAUAAAAUAAGCUAAUUUUCCAAACUAAUUUUUAUAUCCAGCAACCCUGCUAAAAUUUC